AUUGAACGCUGGCGGCAGGCCUAACACAUGCAAGUCGAACGAGAGGCGGACGGGUGAGUAAUGUCUGGGAAACUGUCUGCUGGAGGGGGAUAUCUACUGGAAACGGUAGCUAAUACCGCAUACCAUCGGAUGUGCCCAGAUGGGAUUAGCUAGUAGGUGGGUUAACGGCGCACAUGGGCGACGAUCCCUAGCUGGUCUGAGAGGAGGAACAGCAACACUGGAACUGAGACACGGUCCAGACUCCUACGGGAGGCAGCAGUGGGGAAUAUUGCACAAUGGGCGCAAGCCUGAUGCAGCCAUGCCGCGUGUAUGAAGAAGGCCUUCGGGUUGUAAAGUACUUUCAGCGGGGAGGCGUUACCCGCAGAAGAAGCACCGGCUAACUCCGUGCCAGCAGCCGCGGUAAUAC
rnacentral:rRNA from 1 species